rnacentral:rRNA from 1 species
AUGACUCAACCGAAAAAUAUGGGGGGAAUAGGGUUUAAAGAUUUUGAGAUCUUCAACCUAGCCAUGCUGGCGAAGCAGGCAUGGAGACUUUUACAAGAUCAGGAAUCUCUGAGUAGCCAAAUUUUGAGAGUUGUGUAUUACCCAAGUGGGGAUCUGCUAGAAGUUGAACUGGGGUCAUCACCAAGUCAAGUAUGGCGUGCUAUACUUGAGGGAAGAGAUACCCUCAAGCUCGGGCUAGUGAGGCGGAUUGGUACAGGAGAGACAACACGGAUCUAG